CUUGCAGGAAAAGCAAACCCCGGAGGAAGCUGAGGCAUGACUGCUCGAGAGCCAGCCUGCCUUGUGCAAUGUUCCUCUGAUAGUCCCAGAGCUCGGAAG